AUUCCGUAAAGGAUCUUUUGUGUUUCAUUCACUUUUUCCCUGUUAACUCAUUAUGGAUUUCAUAUAGGAUCCUUUCAUGAUGUCACUACAUCCUUUGAGAGAAAUUGUACAUGACUUAUUACCUGACAUGACUGUCUAAUGAAUUCUAUGGUGCUAUUGCUGUUUAAUUUUAGGUCUUGCGGUGGGUUUAACAGCUAGUAAUCAUGAGGUUCACAUCUUGGUCUAUAUUUUAGGCUUUGUGAUAUGGUAACAUGUACCUUUCUCUGUCUAGAGUGCCAUAUAUAGAUUUGUUGAGCCAAGAUUCACAGGCAAUUGGCAAGAGAGGCUGUUAGGAGGUCUUUGGUUCUGUUACCCUUAGAGCCAUUGUUGCUUCUGAGCAAGAAUGCUGCAAAGAUCAUGGUGGCGGGAAGCUAUGCAAACAAUCCGGGUUAUCAGUGUGGAGGAUGGGCAAUCGACUGGGAACGAAGCAGUGGCCAGACAACAAUAGAAUUUGAUCCAUAAAAGGAGAGAGAAUAGAUCGACUUGGAAUAAAGGAUCCAAAAGGAAGACCGGAGCCAAUGAAACAAACGGACAAAAAGAGAGCAUACAAGCUGCAGUCAGCCAAGGGACUCUAUAAGUAUUUUAUAAAGAACUUCCAGACCCCACAACCACUGAUUUGGAAGGAUUUUCUUAUGGCAUUGUUUUGGUGGGAGAACCUGCAUACGUGGAAACAGGUGGAUAUAACAAGAAUCUAACCAUUCCUUCUCGUGGAAUAGAUGUUAUACAGAAUGUUUGCAGUAAAAUGAAAUGCCUGGUUGUUCUGAUAUCAAGCAGGCCUCUUGUUGUGGAGCCCUACCUGGACCAGAUGGACGCAUUUGUAGCUGCAUGGUUGCCUGGCUGUUAAGGAAUGGCUUAAAUUAUACACUAAGCUUAUAUUUCUAAGCUUAAAAGUGUUAAAUACUUAGAGUUGACUGACAUUUUCUAG